AGAUUUUCUGGAGCCAAACAAUUGGCGGCCUUAUUCUUUAAAAUGAUUCUUUUUAGAUCUUUCUUUUUUGCUUCGGCAUUUUAGGAGAUCUUGUUACUUUGAGUAAAUUAGAGUGUUCAAAGCAAACAGAUUAUAGCAUCUCUAUGCGUUUGAAUACUACAGCAUGUGAAUAACAAAAUUGAAGAAGUAUGAAUUUUUUGCUUUGCCACCCCCGGGGCGGAU
rnacentral:rRNA from 1 species